AUUGAAACACCAAUUCCCAUAUGAUCAUCAAAGUUAAGCAAUGUUGAGCCUGGUUAGCACCUAGAUAGGUGACCACUGGGGAAUACCAGGUUCUGUAAG